CACACCUGCAAAGCGUUUGCCGCCUAAGGUAACAAUUACAGGUUCCAAGGAUUAAAACCUGGUAUGUUCGGAGGCCAUUAUUCUGCCUACACAGAGGGGUUGGCUUAGGACACCCGUCCUUGGUGCCGGGUAAAGCUGCCCAGGGAGCCUGGAGGAAGCCUCCUCUGUCUCUUUCAACCCCCACAGGUGCCCCAAGGGAGCCGCCACUGAGGUCCUCGGGCUCUGAUCGAAGUAUGACGUGACAGCAAGUCCACUCCUCUCCCCGCUGACUCUGGCACAGGUUUUCCGCGUGGCCAGGGAUGGGUGUGAGCAGCCCAGAGUAGGGGCCGGCCCAGGCUCGGCCAAGGUCCACACGUCUGCCUGGCCGUCAUGCCCAGCUCCAUGUGAGAUGGGACCACCAGCGCUGGCCACCUGGGGGGCUUCCCUGAGGGCCAGCUCGCAGCUCUUCGCCAAUAUCUCAUCCCAAUCUGCAGAUGCUAGACCGGAUCUCUAACCUGCAACGAUGUCAGAGAAGUACUGCUACCUGGAGGUGCUGGCUCAUGGCAGCCUGCCCUAUGGAGAUUGUCUUUUCAGAUACAGCAAACAGCCUUGGAGAAGGAAAGAGGUGGUGUCUCCCUACAGCGCAGAGAGCAGGCCACUAUCCACCUGCCUAACCACCCUGGGAGCAAGUACCAGACAACUAGGGACACAAACAAGGCUUUUGCCCACAUGUCCGCUGUCUCCUAAGCCUGCUGACAACGCCUGUGGCCCCUCCUCCUGGGAGCUGCUGGGUCCCAAGAUUCUGCAUUUCCAAGGCUCUCCCAGGGGAUGCCGAUGCUGCAGGUCCUUGGACCACACUCGGAGGAGCCACUCACACUAG
rnacentral:lncRNA from 10 species